rnacentral:lncRNA from 1 species
AUGAGCAUUCAGAUAAUUUCUGGAGAAAAUCAUCAGUUUUCCAUCAAAGUUCCCUGGGUCUCAUUCCUGUUGAUGUCAUCCUUGCUUAUUAACACCACGUUUGCUAACGGCCAUACGUCAGUAGGUCCUGUGCCAUGGCUCAUCACUUCAGGUUUGCUGAAGUUUCUUCCUGGUUUAAGGAUUAAGAAAAUGGUGUCCAUUCCCUACCUCUCACCACACCCACAGCUGGAAAUUGCUCAGGAUGUCUGUAAUAAAGAAACCUGGAGAAAAUGA